AAAAUGGACUUUGCUUUAACUUUAAAAAUAGUAACCUUGACUCUAUGGGCUAGGGUGUUGUUGUUGUUUUUUGGGCUUCUUUGGUUCUUACCGUAGCAUGUGAAACUUGUAUGCUUUGGAGGUAUUGCUUUCUGCAUUGAGAAAUUUGUUGUUUCUCUACUCUCUUCUUCCAUCCCUUUCACUAUAUAGUAGCCUAUUGCUCCCACCUUUUCACCAGUGCAUUAGUAAACAGCUCUCCAGCAGUUUACAACCAUCUAUUUCCAGAUGGCAGAAAGCUGUGCAAUGCAAGUAGUUUAGAGGAGAGAAGUGAAGGACCUGGAUGCUUGCCCAGCACAAGGGAAAGUGGAGUAAGAAAGGUUCUGAUUUGUGAUGUGACUUCUGCAUGACUGAGGAAUUUGGAUGCUCUGCUAUGUUACCACAAGUGCCUGUCCAGAUUUCUUACAAGUUGGGCUGUCGAGUGACAACCUACUAUUGCUUCAUUUACCAUGCAUCUCAAGGACAAGCUUCUCCUCUUUCCUCUCAAGCCAUCAACCCACUGGUUAUCAGCCUGGUCUCUGUCCAGAGGUGACUUGAAGUGUGAGCAAAAAUGUGACGGCAGCAAGAAUUUCUUAGGGUGAUACCUUUUAUUGGACCAACUAUGUAGUUGGGAUAAAGCUAGACAAGCUUUCAUUGCACAGCGACACUGUCAUUCUGGUGAAAGUUGAUUUUUUGAUUUGACAUGUCCACUUAAUAUUGUGCAAGCCUUUCAGUGCAGACCUUGUAUCAGUGGUUCCUAACCUUUAGAGACUUGAGGCAGCCCUCAGAAAAUGCCAGCUCUUAGUUUUGACUUUUUUUUGACUGCAGCAAGGAGAAUUGCUCUUUUUUUUUUUUUUUU